rnacentral:rRNA from 1 species
UAGGGAAUAUUGGGCAAUGGGCGAGAGCCUGACCCAGCCAUGCCGCGUGCCGGAUGAAGGCCUUCUGGGUUGUAAACGGCUUUUCUCAGGGAAGAAAAAGGUGAUGCGUCACAAACUGACGGUACCUGAGGAAUAAGCACCGGCUAACUCCGUGCCAGCAGCCGCGGUAAUACGGAGGGUGCAAGCGUUGUCCGGAUUUAUUGGGUUUAAAGGGUGCGUAGGCGGCCCGUUAAGUCCGGGGUGAAAGCCUCUUGCUCAACAAGAGAACUGCCCUGGAUACUGGCGGGCUUGAGUCCAGACGAGGUUGGCGGAAUGGAAGGUGUAGCGGUGAAAUGCAUAGAUACCUUCCAGAACCCCGAUUGCGUAGGCAGCUGACUAGGCUGGUACUGACGCUGAGGCACGAAAGCGUGGGGAGCGAACA